UACAGAGGUGGCAAGCGUUGUUCGGAAUUACUGGGCGUAAAGGGCGCGUAGGCGGCCAUCUAAGUCAGACGUGAAAUCCCCAGGCUCAACCUGGGAACUGCGUCUGAUACUGGAUGGCUUGAAUUCGGGAGAGGGAUGCAGAAUUCCAGGUGUAGCGGUGAAAUGCGUAGAUAUCUGGAGGAAUACCGGUGGCGAAGGCGGCAUCCUGGACCGACAUUGACGCUGAGGAGCGAAAGCUAGGGGAGCAAACGGG
rnacentral:rRNA from 1 species